ACUCGUUACCUGUAUUAAUGGCACCUGUUUGAACUUGUUAUCAGUAUAAAAGACACCUGUCCACAACCUCAAACAGUCACACUCCAAACUCCACUAUGGCCAAGACCAAAGAGCUGUCAAAGGACACCGGAAACAAAAUUGUAGACCUGCACCAGGCUGGGAAGACUCUGCAAUAGUUUGGUGAAUUGACCAACCAGACCCUCAAGACUGCCAUGGGCAAGUCCCUUGAUUGGUACCAGGAAGGGUGGGCAAACAACCUGAAGGUAAUUCUCUUUGCACACAACAGCAGCAUCCAGGCCUCCACUGAGUACCGCAGUAGCUGCAGCUGUUGACUGAGAUCACUGAAACCCCAGCUGAUGUGGUGGAAGUUGUCAAAUCAGAUUAGAAUGCCUUCGAGGACCACCUUCAGGCACGGACUAAGAAGGAUGUGGAGGUUUUUGACCAGUCAAGGUGGACUGAACAUCAACAAGGCGCAGGAGA